rnacentral:rRNA from 1 species
GAUGAACGCUGGCGGCGUGCCUAAUACAUGCAAGUCGAGCGAACAGACGAGGAGCUUGCUCCUCUGACGUUAGCGGCGGACGGGUGAGUAACACGUGGAUAACCUACCUAUAAGACUGGGAUAACUUCGGGAAACCGGAGCUAAUACCGGAUAAUAUAUUGAACCGCAUGGUUCAAUAGUGAAAGACGGUUUUGCUGUCACUUAUAGAUGGAUCCGCGCCGCAUUAGCUAGUUGGUAAGGUAACGGCUUACCAAGGCAACGAUGCGUAGCCGACCUGAGAGGGUGAUCGGCCACACUGGAACUGAGACACGGUCCAGACUCCUACGGGAGGCAGCAGUAGGGAAUCUUCCGCAAUGGGCGAAAGCUUGACGGAGCAACGCCGCGUGAGUGAUGAAGGUCUUCGGAUCGUAAAACUCUGUUAUUAGGGAAGAACAAAUGUGUAAGUAACUAUGCACGUCUUGACGGUACCUAAUCAGUAAGCCACGGCUAACUACGUG